rnacentral:rRNA from 1 species
CAGUCGCCGCGGUAAAACAGAGGGUGCAAGCGUUAAUCGGAAUUACUGGGCGUAAAGCGCGCGUAGGUGGUUUGUUAAGUUGGAUGUGAAAGCCCCGGGCUCAACCUGGGAACUGCAUCCAAAACUGGCAAGCUAGAGUACGGUAGAGGGUGGUGGAAUUUCCUGUGUAGCGGUGAAAUGCGUAGAUAUAGGAAGGAACACCAGUGGCGAAGGCGACCACCUGGACUGAUACUGACACUGAGGUGCGAAAGCGUGGGGAGCAAACAGGAUUAGAGACCCCAGUAGUCCCUGUCUCUUAUAC